ACUCAAAUGAAUAGACGGGGGCCCGCACAAGCGGCGGAGCAUGUGGAUUAAUUCGAUGCAACGCGAAGAACCUUACCAAGGCUUGACAUGUACCGGAAACAUCCAGAGAUGGGUGCCCCGCAAGGUCGGUACACAGGUGGUGCAUGGUUGUCGUCAGCUCGUGUCGUGAGAUGUUGGGUUAAGUCCCGCAACGAGCGCAACCCUCGUUCCAUGUUGCCAGCAACACCUUUUAGGUGGUUGGGGACUCAUGGGAGACUGCCGGGGUCAACUCGGAGGAAGGUGGGGAUGACGUCAAAUCAUCAUGCCCCUUAUGUCUUGGGCUUCACACAUGCUACAAUGGCCGGUACAAAGGGCUGCGAAACCGCGAGGUGGAGCGAAUCCCAAAAAACCGGUCUCAGUUCGGAUUGGGGUCUGCAACUCGACCCCAUGAAGUCGGAGUCGCUAGUAAUCGCAGAUCAGCAACGCUGCGGUGAAUACGUUCCCGGGCCUUGCACACACCGCCCGU
rnacentral:rRNA from 1 species